AGCAGUCGCCGCGGGAAUACGAAGGGUGCAAGCGUUACUCGGAAUCACUGGGCGUAAAGCGUGUGUAGGUGGUUGUUUAAGUCUGUCGUGAAAGCCCUGGGCUCAACCUGGGAAUUGCGAUGGAUACUGGGCGACUAGAGUGCGGUAGAGGAUAGUGGAAUUUCCGGUGUAGCAGUGAAAUGCGUAGAGAUCGGAAGGAACAUCUGUGGCGAAGGCGACUAUCUGGGCCAACACUGACACUGAGGCACGAAAGCGUGGGGAGCAAACAGGAUUAGAUACCCGCGUAGUCCCUGUCUCUUAUAC
rnacentral:rRNA from 1 species